AGAGUUUGAUCCUGGCUCAGGACGAACGCUGGCGGCGUGCCUAAUACAUGCAAGUAGAACGCUGAAGAGAGGAGCUUGCUCUUCUUGGAUGAGUUGCGAACGGGUGAGUAACGCGUAGGUAACCUGCCUUGUAGCGGGGGAUAACUAUUGGAAACGAUAGCUAAUACCGCAUAACAAUGGAUGACACAUGUCAUUUAUUUGAAAGGGGCAAUUGCUCCACUACAAGAUGGACCUGCGUUGUAUUAGCUAGUAGGUGAGGUAACGGCUCACCUAGGCGACGAUACAUAGCCGACCUGAGAGGGUGAUCGGCCACACUGGGACUGAGACACGGCCCAGACUCCUACGGGAGGCAGCAGUAGGGAAUCUUCGGCAAUGGGGGCAACCCUGACCGAGCAACGCCGCGUGAGUGAAGAAGGUUUUCGGAUCGUAAAGCUCUGUUGUAAGUCAAGAACGAGUGUGAGAGUGGAAAGUUCACACUGUGACGGUAGCUUACCAGAAAGGGACGGCUAACUACGUGCCAGCAGCCGCGGUAAUACGUAGGUCCCGAGCGUUGUCCGGAUUUAUUGGGCGUAAAGCGAGCGCAGGCGGUUUGAUAAGUCUGAAGUUAAAGGCUGUGGCUCAACCAUAGUUCGCUUUGGAAACUGUCAAACUUGAGUGCAGAAGGGGAGAGUGGAAUUCCAUGUGUAGCGGUGAAAUGCGUAGAUAUAUGGAGGAACACCGGUGGCGAAAGCGGCUCUCUGGUCUGUAACUGACGCUGAGGCUCGAAAGCGUGGGGAGCGAACAGGAUUAGAUACCCUGGUAGUCCACGCCGUAAACGAUGAGUGCUAGGUGUUGGAUCCUUUCCGGGAUUCAGUGCCGCAGCUAACGCAUUAAGCACUCCGCCUGGGGAGUACGACCGCAAGGUUGAAACUCAAAGGAAUUGACGGGGGCCCGCACAAGCGGUGGAGCAUGUGGUUUAAUUCGAAGCAACGCGAAGAACCUUACCAGGUCUUGGCAUCCCGAUGCUAUUCUUAGAGAUAGAAAAUUACUUCGGUCCUCCGGUGACAGGGGGUGCAAGGGUGUCCCCCAGCUCCGGCCCGGGAAAUGUGGGGUUAAUUCCCCCAACCAGGGCAACCCCCAUUGGUAUGUGCGCACCUUCAUUUGGGGACUUUACCAAAAUCGCGGGAAUAACCCGAGGAAGGGGGGGAGAGGGCAAAAUAUAUGGCCCUUUAAACCUGGGUCAACACGUGCCAAAAUGUUGGUAACAAAGUUGGGAGCUGUGAAGGAAGGAUUCCUUAAGCAACUCAUCUCGGAUUGUAGGCUGCAACUCGCCUACAUGAAGUCGGAAUCGCUAGUAAUCGCGGAUCAGCACGCCGCGGUGAAUACGUUCCCGGGCCUUGCACACACCGCCCGUC
rnacentral:rRNA from 1 species